GACGGAGGAUGCGAGCGUUAUCCGGAAUGACUGGGCGUAAAGCGUGCGCAGGUGGCUGUUCAAGUCUGCUGUCAAAGACCGGGGCUUAACCCUGGAAAGGCAGUGGAAACUGAACGGCUGGAGGGUAGGAGGGGGAGGGGGAAUUCCCAGUGUAGCGGUGAAAUGCGUAGAUAUUGGGAUGAACACCGGUGGCGAAAGCGCUCUGCUGGUCUGCAACUGACGCUGAGGGACGAAAGCUAGGGGAGCGAAAGGG
rnacentral:rRNA from 1 species